UUAAAGCUGGUGUCUCUACAUUUUUGUAAAAUAACCUCCAGUAUGUGAAGACACUUGACCCUGUUCUGAAGUGAUAUUUACCAUGGACCCAGAGCUAAGCGGUAGCUUUCUCCUUGUAUUUUGCUUAGCAAUUGUUAAAUGAGUAAACACUGUUUAUCCAGAAAUAAGGACACUGUUCUGCACCAAUAGGCUAAUAAAACAAGUUAACAAAAACAAAAUCUUUGAGCACUCCUGCCAGCACUCUGUAAGUCGCGUUUCUGUUACUCCUUUACUGUAAAUAAACUGUAAAGAUACAUUUCUUCAAAAAUGUACAGCUUAGCUAAUUUUUUAUUUUCUUUGUCUUAAGGCUUAAACACAAGCAACUUGGUUAUAUCUGGAGUCUGCAAUCUGACCACCUUUUCCCUGAGAUGUAAAGAGGUCAUCAAUGAUGACUUGCCUGUUGGAGAGAUCCUGGAGCGCUGGCCUGCCCUAAAGUUGGAGUCACAGAUCUGUGCAAAGUUUCACAGCAUUACAAACAUCAACCUGAAAAACCACUUCUAUGCUGAGUUAGACAGACUUGUCUUGAGGGUUUGUUCAGGAAAGCUGCACGCACAGGGAAGGUAUCCGAAGUCCUGGAUCAGCUCUUCAACAAUUAUGACCUCCAGGAACAAGUUGACGUCAGUGUCCAACGUGCUGCUGUCCUCUCCCUCUCCCUACAUAUCUGUAUGAGGAUGACUCCAGGUUUCUGAAGCUG